rnacentral:rRNA from 1 species
AGUCGGGCGGUAACACAGAGGAGCUUGCUCCUUGGGUGACGAGCGGCGGACGGGUGAGUAAAGUCUGGGGAUCUGCCUGAUGGAGGGGGAUAACUACUGGAAACGGUAGCUAAUACCGCAUGACGUCUUCGGACCAAAGUGGGGGACCUUCGGGCCUCACGCCAUGAGAUGAACCCAGAUGGGAUUAGCUGGUAGGUGAGGUAACGGCUCACCUAGGCGACGAUCCCUAGCUGGUCUGAGAGGAUGACCAGCCACACUGGAACUGAGACACGGUCCAGACUCCUACGGGAGGCAGCAGUGGGGAAUAUUGCACAAUGGGGGAAACCCUGAUGCAGCCAUGCCGCGUGUGUGAAGAAGGCCUUCGGGUUGUAAAGCACUUUCAGCGGGGAGGAAGGCAAUAAACUUAAUAAGUUUGUUGAUUGACGUUACCCGCAGAAGAAGCACCGGCUAACUCCGUGCCAGCAGCCGCGGUAAUACGGAGGGUGCAAGCGUUAAUCGGAAUGACUGGGCGUAAAGCGCACGCAGGCGGUCUGUUAAGUUGGAUGUGAAAUCCCCGGGCUCAACCCGGGAACAGCAUUCAAAACUGACAGGCUAGAGUCUCGUAGAGGGGGGUAGAAUUCCAGGUGUAGCGGUGAAAUGCGUAGAGAUCUGGAGGAAUACCGGUGGCGAAGGCGGCCCCCUGGACGAAGACUGACGCUCAGGUGCGAAAGCGUGGGGAGCAAACAGGAUUAGAUACCCUGGUAGUCCACGCCGUAAACGAUGUCGACUUGGAGGCUGUGGUCUUGAACCGUGGCUUCCGGAGCUAACGCGUUAAGUCGACCGCCUGGGGAGUACGGCCGCAAGGUUAAAACUCAAAUGAAUUGACGGGGGCCCGCACAAGCGGUGGAGCAUGUGGUUUAAUUCGAUGCAACGCGAAGAACCUUACCUACUCUUGACAUCCAGAGAAGACUGUAGAGAUACGGUUGUGCCUUCGGGAGCUCUGAGACAGGUGCUGCAUGGCUGUCGUCAGCUCGUGUUGUGAAAUGUUGGGUUAAGUCCCGCAACGAGCGCAACCCUUAUCCUUUGUUGCCAGCGAUACGGUCGGGAACUCAAAGGAGACUGCCGGUGAUAAACCGGAGGAAGGUGGGGAUGACGUCAAGUCAUCAUGGCCCUUACGAGUAGGGCUACACACGUGCUACAAUGGCGCAUACAAAGAGAAGCGAGCCUGCGAGGGUGAGCGGACCUCAUAAAGUGCGUCGUAGUCCGGAUUGGAGUCUGCAACUCGACUCCAUGAAGUCGGAAUCGCUAGUAAUCGUAGAUCAGAAUGCUACGGUGAAUACGUUCCCGGGCCUUGUACACACCGCCCGUCACACCAUGGGAGUGGGUUGCAAAAGAAGUAGGUAGCUUAA